rnacentral:rRNA from 1 species
GAUGAACGCUGGCGGCGUGCUUAACACAUGCAAGUCGAACGGUGAACGAGGGAGCUUGCUCCCUCCGGAUCAGUGGCGAACGGGUGAGUAACACGUGAGCAAUCUGCCCUGGACUCUGGGAUAAGCGUUGGAAACGACGUCUAAUACUGGAUACGAGGCGUGGGGGCAUCCCCAACGCCUGGAAAGAACUUCGGUCCAGGAUGAGCUCGCGGCCUAUCAGCUUGUUGGUGAGGUAACGGCUCACCAAGGCGACGACGGGUAGCCGGCCUGAGAGGGUGACCGGCCACACUGGGACUGAGACACGGCCCAGACUCCUACGGGAGGCAGCAGUGGGGAAUAUUGCACAAUGGGCGCAAGCCUGAUGCAGCAACGCCGCGUGAGGGACGACGGCCUUCGGGUUGUAAACCUCUUUUAGCAGGGAAGAAGCGAAAGUGACGGUACCUGCAGAAAAAGCACCGGCUAACUACGUGCCAGCCGCCGCAGUAAUAC